AAUGAUUUUAGAAAAACUGAGGAGUCAACUGGUGGACCCACUAUUAUGAUUCUAUAAACUUUUAACACACUGUCUAACCAUUAUGUAUCUCUUUCAUGCUCUCCAUCUUCACGCUGGAGGUGGAAUCAAACCUAUCAGCUGAAGAAAUGGGAAGGGUACAGAACGUGGCCUCUUCCUGGGACCUCCCUCCGCUAACCACAACCAACAGGGCCCUUAAUGCUCUGCGGUGAAAAAUGGAGCAACAAGGCUGACCGUGACAUCGGGAGAGCUGAGGCAGAUCAUCUUAAACAUGAUGCACCUGGACGGUCCGGUGGCGGAGACUUCAAGAAUUAAAUAAAAUUACAAUGAAAUGGAUAA